rnacentral:tRNA from 1 species
AAAUAUGAAGCAAUAAUUUGCAUUUAAUUUCGACUUAAAAGAAAGAGUAUAAAUUUUACUCCAUAUUUA